ACCUUCGGGUUAGUGGCGGACGGGUGAGUAACGCGUGACAAUCUGCCCUCAGGAGGGGGAUAACGGUUGGAAACGACCGCUAAUACCCCAUAUGCCGCGAGGUGAAAUGAAUUUCGCCUGAGGAUGAGCUCGCGUCUGAUUAGUUAGUUGGUGGGGUAAAGGCCUACCAAGACAUCGAUCAGUAGCUGGUCUGAGAGGAUGAUCAGCCACACUGGGACUGAGACACGGCCCAGACUCCUACGGGAGGCAGCAGGGGGGAAUUUUCCGCAAUGGGCGAAAGCCUGACGGAGCAACGCCGCGUGAGGGAUGAAGGCCUCUGGGCUGUAAACCUCUUUUAUCAAGGAAGAAGAUCUGACGGUACUUGAUGAAUAAGCCACGGUUAAUUCCGUGCCAGCAGCCGCGGUAAUACGGGAGUGGCAAGCGUUUUCCGGAAUUAUUGGGCGUAAAGCGUCCGCAGGCGGGUCUGUCAAGUCUGCUGUUAAAGCGGGAAGCUUAACUCCAUUUUCGGAGUGGAACCUGAAAGACUAAAGUGUGGUAGGGGGCGAGGGAAUUCCCCGGUGUAGCGGUGAAAUGCGUAUAAUAUUCGGGAAGAACACCACUGGGCUAAGGGCUCU
rnacentral:rRNA from 1 species